rnacentral:lncRNA from 1 species
CAUCAUCUGUCACCUCUAAAAUUCCUCUACUCUCCAAAUUCUCUCUAACCCUCUCAAAACCCUAGUCUAUCUCACCGUCUCCUACCUCGAGCUCACCGGAAAUCAUGGCUACUCCGGUCAUGAUAACCUCAUCCUCACCCUCUAUUACUCCUAUGUGCUUGAUAUUUGAAGAAUCAGGGCCUUGACCUCGAUGGUUCCCUUUCAGAUCUUCUUAGAUCUGUAGAUCUAUGGCGUCUCCGGCCAUUACUCAGGCAUAUUCGAGCAAUAUGAGUCUUUUCGACUUGGGAUCAGAUUUUCCUAAAGACCUUCCUCAUUUCUUGGGUUUUCUCUGCAAUCCAUGGCUAUUAGAGGUUCUUUCUGAUUUUCUUUUCUUAGAUCUGUCACGUACCUAUGCUCCACUUGAGUUUUCAAAUAAUUUCCCCAAUCUUUCUUUCAACAAUAAUUUUCCUUAAUAUCUUUCUUUUCCGAUCUAGGGUUUUCUAAAAUGUUUAAGUGAUUUUAAAUUUUGCUUUUCCUUUACAUGUACUUGCUCCUAUUGUGUCCUUGUAUUCUUCCUUUUACCAUGCUCUUAUAUGACUAUCUUAGUGUGUUCUUCUAUAUGUGUUUUUUAGCUAUAAUUUUUCUAAUGUUCUUGUGUUCUUCUACUGUAUUUUCCUACUAAGUGCUGAAAGUUCUUUGUUUGCCUUCUACUGAGCCCCAUUUAAGUUUCUUUCAGAAAAUUUUCUAAUGUUCUUGUGUUCUUCUACUGUAUUUUCCUACUAAGUGCUGAAAGUUCUUUGUUUGCCUUCUAUUGAGCCCCAUUUAUGUUUCUUUUAGAAAAAUCCUUAAGCAUGUCUUUCUACUGUUCCAACCGGUAUGUCCAUUAUGUUCAGUGAAUCUCUCUACUGUAUUUUUCUACCGCGUUCUUUAGUGUCCUUACUAUUUUUUCUACUGAACUUUAUUUGAGUUCUUCUAAAAGAGCUUCUUAAGAAUGUUUCCUCUACUAUUCUUAUUAGUAUUUUCCAUUCUAUCCUCUGAAUCCUGCUACUGUUUGCAUGUUACUUCUCUAUCAUGUUUUGUCAUGAUUUCUGAAAGAAGCAUGUUAGAAGCUUCAGCUCUCUUCUGAAACCUCUAUACAUGUGUCGACUCAAUUUCCUUGCCCUCUCUUUAUGUUUUCUGGUUUGUUCGAACUAGGGCUUUAUUUCAAAGAUC